UUGUGGAGGAGGACGCCGAAGGUGGGGCUAAUGACUGGGGUGAAGUCGUAACAAGGUAGCCGUACCGGAAGGUGCGGCUGGAUCACCUCCUAACAGGGAGACAACAAAAUGUUUAAUAUUAUUAUUUUGUCACCUUAGGUCGAUCGGUAUCUCACAUUCUUAAUUUAUUAAGGAUUUUAUUUCCUAAGUUUUUUCUAGGUCACACCCAUUACUUUUCCUGGGCCAUUAGCUCAGGUGGUUAGAGCGCACCCCUGAUAAGGGUGAGGUCCCUGGUUCAAGUCCAGGAUGGCCCAUAUCUCUAUGUUGGGGGUAUAGCUCAGUUGGUAGAGCGCCUGCUUUGCAAGCAGGAUGUCAGCGGUUCGAGUCCGCUUACCUCCACUGAUUACCACCUCUUCCAUAAUUAUUUAAGGAAAUGUUUUGAGUAGUGAUCAAAUUCUGAACGAAUCUAGCUUCCUAAUGAAUUCAUUAAGAUGCUGGACUCAUUGAAUUAUUUUCAUUGUUUUCAGAGAACCUUGACAACUGCAUAGAUUAUUUUUAAAGACAAUAAGCAUCUUUAUGAUGCAGAUUUAUUAUUUGUGCGAAUGCAUUAAUAACAAUUCUAUUAAGCUGAUGCUUCAAUUAUGAAGUUAUUGGUCAAGCUACAA
rnacentral:misc_RNA from 1 species